UACGUAGGGGGCAAGCGUUGUCCGGAAUCAUUGGGCGUAAAGCGCGUGUAGGCGGCUCGGUAAGUCCGCUCUGAAAGUCCAGGGCUCAACCCUGGGAUGCGGGUGGAUACUGCCGAGCUCGAGUCCGGAAGAGGCGAGUGGAAUUCCUGGUGUAGCGGUGAAAUGCGCAGAUAUCAGGAGGAACACCAAUGGCGAAGGCAGCUCGCUGGGACGUGACUGACGCUGAGGUGCGAAAGCGUGGGGAGCAAACAGG
rnacentral:rRNA from 1 species